CGAGGCCCGGACCGUUGGCGCACGAGUCCCGGCACGCCCUCCGGGGUGGCCAAUGGGGCCUCGAGUUCCCGCCGCGUGGUGGCCGACGGGGCGCGAGCCCGCCCUCCCCCUCGGUGGGGUGCACGCCUUCGAGGACGCCGGGGGACACUGCGACUCAAGGGUUACAUCCACGGCAAGUAUAAAGGAGCAGAGACGAUUCACUGUGGAAAUGAAGAAAAGAUCGGGAGAGAGAAUUCUUAUUCUAAAUGCAGGUUCUGGCUAGUCUGGAAUGAAAAAACCGUUUUCUAGAAAGCAACAUGACAGCCAGCGGCAGGUGAGAAAGACACCGGCUGCAGUUUCAACAGAGUGAGCAUCACAAGGCAUGAGGAAAAGAAAGCUGGGAAGUCCGAUAGGCCGAGGAGACUGUACCCGUCCCAACCGCAGCACAUGGCUACACUACUGUAUCUUUUGGUUAAGUGCCACUGGUACAUAGUAAGAUGAAAAACAAAAUCUAAAUAAAACAAAACAAAGUGUUUGGUCCAAAUGGACACAUCCUCACUCCCAA